ensembl:lncRNA
AUAGGAAGUAUGGGGUGAUGUGAUGAGGAACAGGUGUGUGUAAUGAUAGGAAGUAUGGGGUGAUGUGAUGAGGAACAGGUGUGUGUAAUGAUAUGAAGUAUGGGGUGAUGUGAUGAGGAACAGGUGUGUUUAAUGAUGGGAAGUAUGGGGUGAUGUGAUGAGGAACAGGUGUGUGUAAUGAUAGGAAGUAUGGGGUGAUGUGAUGAGGAACAGGUGUGUGUAAUGAUAGGAAGUAUGGGGUGAUGUGAUGAGGAACAGGUGUGUGUAAUGAUAGGAAGUAUGGGGUGAUGUGAUGAGGAACAGGUGUGUGUAAUGAUAGGAAGUAUGGGGUGAUGUGAUGAGGAACAGGUGUGUGUAAUGAUAGGAAGUAUGGGGUGAUGUGAUGAGGAACAGGUGUGUGUAAUGAUGGGAAGUAUGGGGUGAUGAACAGGUGUGUGUAAUAGUGGAAAGCUCCUUGAAAGUGUAUAUCCUUUGAUCGUUGCAAACUGGUCGAUAAUGUCUCUUAUUUUACCUUGUACAUCAUCAAAAUGAAAGCAAAGUUCUAAUGGAUUUAUUUUUGAAUAAUUUAAGUUUUGUGUAAUUUUCAUUUUGUACAUUUGUAGGGCCUAAUAAAUGAAUGAAAAUACUAUAGCCUGUGUUCUUAGAAAUAAUCGUUCUAUUUAUUAUAAUUUUUUGAACUAUUCUAUGUAGUUUGAGGACGAUCCGGUAGAUGAACUGAUGCCCUGGCUGGAUGGGGAUGCUGUGGAGAAUGUCCAUGUUAAUAGGGACGAUUCAUAUGCUAUUGACGGCAAACGGUGUUCAGCUGUGGCUGAUACUGUUGGUCUCAAAGGCCGGGCGGUUCUAGUGUUAAACGAGCUAAUGUUGUAGUUUUUGACAGGAAAUGUCUCCCAUUGACCGUUUGAUUAGAUUUAUUUUAGUGUUAAUACUUUAUUAAUAUAACUCCUUCUGAAUUCUUUCCAUCUUUAGGCCUGGUAGGAGACCCAGAGGAUUCCUGUCGUUCAUGUCCAAUAAGCCCCUCACACCUGCCUCCUCUGCCCCUGCUCGAGGUCCCAGAGCAGCCGCUCAGAGGCCCCAGGUCAACACCAACCGCACUGGGGGGAAACGGGCUGACUCCGCUCCCUCCUCCGUCAGAGCCAUGCCUGCACGUUUCACCAGCCCCACUAGAACCACCAUUAAGCCUGACGGUUCCCCGACGGUGACCUGGGGAAAACCCUCUGAUGUUCAAACCACCAAAUCAGACCCAGAGCCCAGUACCUCCCAGGGUACAGCUUCCCAGGUAAAGAGGUGGACACCUCCUACUGGGAUUGGUCUGCCAACCUUUCUAGUACAGUACAAUCGACAGAACAUAACCCUCCCCCUUCCCAUCUGUCUCCUCCCCCUUCCCAUCUGUCUCUGCUCUCUCCAAUCCCUCAUUCUGUCUCCUUCAUCUCCCUCUCUUCCUUCAUUUCUCCCUCUCUCUCUCUGCAUCUCUUCCUUUUUCUUGACCAGCCUUCUCAGGGGCCAGAUGGCCAGCCCAGUGCCUCUCCCUGUGUGGACAGCUACUCAACAGACGAGGAACCCAUCAACGUGUCCCAGUACUUUUUCAGUGACAUCUUCACUGAGGUUGAGGAGAAUGAGGGGUGACCGGAAAGAUAACAAGGCAUCUUUUAAUUCAUUGAACCGAGCUGAAGAACAAACUGCUAAAAAGUACUUGAAGAUUUUUGGAUGUAGCACUAAAAUCACAUCGCUUUGUGGUUAUGCUAACAAGGUUUCUGGUUUGCGGUGAAUAUAUUUGGCCACUAGAUGGCCACAAAACAGAACUUAAGACGAUUAUUUCAGAAGAAAACACUUUUUUUGUCCUGCUUAGGAACUUUGCUCUAAUUUGUGCACCUUUGCUAUAAUAAUAUCUUGAAUCAUAUUCAGACAACUUUGUAUCCUAAUAACAUAUUUAUAUUUAUUUGGUUUUAUUUCUUUUAAACCACUUAGGUAGACAUUAACAAUUCAAACUCACUUCUAUAGCACUCGCCAGUUUUGCAGUUUGCUCAGGGACUUUCAAAUUCAUAUUUGAGUUCUUUUUUUAUAGGUUUGCUGUUAGUCACAUGAUCACGCCAUUGAAUUUGCCAAGUUUCUCCAAAAACAAACAGGCUUUAAGUUAUCUCACUGGUUCUAAAAUUGAUCUCAACCUUUCUCAGACAAACUGCAUCACCGCCAAUCACAAUCCAAAUCAAAAUAAUUCAUCACUGAUCGCAAUCUCAGUUUUAAUAGGCUAGAAUAGGUUGUCACUCUUAGUGUCUGCUAAACCAAUAAUUUGUAAGGAGGGACUUUCCAGGUGGAAAGAGAUUACAGAUGAUCAUGUGACUGGAGUGCUCUGUUAAAGCAUGUUUACAUUUACAUACGAAGCCCUUGUCUUACAGUGAACAUUGUGUAAAUAUGUUAAUUAUAAUUUAGAUCAGAUAUAUUGCAGGGGGGAUUUUGGUGCAUGAAAAAGACUUGUUGUGCAGCUUCACAAUGUUUAUUAAAUGCUGCCUGAUGACACUGUUUACAGAGUCCUCAUUUAAUCAAUGUACCGCUACAACAAAUGCACUAGUCCAUUUUCAGUUCUCAAAUUUUUUGUUUUCAAAUUAGCAUAGCUGUUAUGUUGCUAAUGUAAAAUAUGUGAAUAAAGUUGUGUAUGUGAAUGUCUGCUUUAUGUUGAAUGCCUUCCUUAAACAGUUGUUAAAGAAACAAGAAUGCCUUAUUGGUAAGUACAAAUGAAAGCACAAUUAAAGCCAUUUUAAACAUUGGUCUUUGGUCUGUUGGCCACUAGGAGGCUGUCAAGUGCUUUUUGCACGCCACCUAUGCCGCAGAACCAGAACCAGCAGAAUAAACUAAGUUAUCAUUUUUAAAUAGAGCAUGAGAGAACGUCACCUUCAUUGGUCUGAGCAGUAAAUAAAGAGCCCAUCUCUAAAGCUUUG